UACGUAGGGUGCGAGCGUUAAUCGGAAUUACUGGGCGUAAAGCGUGCGCAGGCGGUUCGUUGUGUCGGCGGUGAAAGCCCCGGGCUCAACCUGGGAAUGGCCGUUGAAACUGGCGAACUGGAGUGUGGCAGGGGGGGGGUGGAAUUCCGCGUGUAGCAGUGAAAUGCGUAGAGAUGCGGAGGAACACCGAUGGCGAAGGCAGCCCCCUGGGCUGACACUGACGCUCGAGGCACGAAAGCGUGGGGAGCAAACAGG
rnacentral:rRNA from 1 species